GUGAAUCAUCAAAUUUUUGAACGCAAAUUGCACUCUCCUCGGAGAGUAUGCCUGUUUGAGGGUCAGCCUAAAUAAAACGACAUCGCUGCUGUCUUGCGGUGGCGCCCGUCGGCGGCUGGGUCAUCUUAAAUCCAGUUGCUUUCAGCGAAUUAAAAUUUUCUUUUGGUUCCAUUAACGUCUCUAAGAUCUAUUUCUUUACUCGUUUUGGGUAUCGAUUCUUACUAGACGUGACCACCAUAUCGGAUCGCGUCCACAAUCUUUUA
rnacentral:misc_RNA from 1 species